AUUGAACGCUGGCGGCAUGCCUUACACAUGCAAGUCGAACGGUAACAGGUCUUCGGAUGCUGACGAGUGGCGAACGGGUGAGUAAUACAUCGGAACGUGCCCAGACGUGGGGGAUAACGAGGCGAAAGCUUUGCUAAUACCGCAUACGAUCUAAGGAUGAAAGCAGGGGACCGCAAGGCCUUGCGCGUUUGGAGCGGCCGAUGGCAGGUUAGGUAGUUGGUGGGAUAAAAGCUUACCAAGCCGACGAUCUGUAGCUGGUCUGAGAGGACGACCAGCCACACUGGGACUGAGACACGGCCCAGACUCCUACGGGAGGCAGCAGUGGGGAAUUUUGGACAAUGGGCGAAAGCCUGAUCCAGCAAUGCCGCGUGCAGGAUGAAGGCCUUCGGGUUGUAAACUGCUUUUGUACGGAACGAAAAGGCUCUGGCUAAUACCUGGGGCACAUGACGGUACCGUAAGAAUAAGCACCGGCUAACUACGUG
rnacentral:rRNA from 1 species